rnacentral:rRNA from 1 species
GGCGACGGUGAGUAAUGCCUAGGAAUCUGCCUGGUAGUGGGGAUAACGUUCGGAAACGGACGCUAAUACCGCAUACGUCCUACGGGAGAAAGCAGGGGACCUUCGGGCCCUUGCGCUAUCAGAUGAGCCUAGGUCGGAUUAGCUAGUUGGUGGGGUAAUGGCUCACCAAGGCGACGAUCCGUAACUGGUCUGAGAGGAUGAUCAGUCACACUGGAACUGAGACACGGUCCAGACUCCUACGGGAGGCAGCAGUGGGGAAUAUUGGACAAUGGGCGAAAGCCUGAUCCAGCCAUGCCGCGUGUGUGAAGAAGGUCUUCGGAUUGUAAAGCACUUUAAGUUGGGAGGAAGGGUUGUAGAUUAAUACUCUGCAAUUUUGACGUUACCGACAGAAUAAGCACCGGCUAACUCUGUGCCAGCAGCCGCGGUAAUACAGAGGGUGCAAGCGUUAAUCGGAAUUACUGGGCGUAAAGCGCGCGUAGGUGGUUAGUUAAGUUGGAUGUGAAAUCUCCGGGCUCAACCUGGGAACUGCAUUCAAAACUGACUGACUAGAGUAUGGUAGAGGGUGGUGGAAUUUCCUGUGUAGCGGUGAAAUGCGUAGAUAUAGGAAGGAACACCAGUGGCGAAGGCGACCACCUGGACUGAUACUGACACUGAGGUGCGAAAGCGUGGGGAGCAAAC